UACGGGGGGAGCAAGCGUUGUUCGGAUUUACUGGGCGUAAAGGGCGCGUAGGCGGUCAGCACAAGUCAGUUGUGAAAUCUCCGGGCUUAACUCGGAAAGGUCAACUGAUACUGUGCGACUAGAGUGCAGAAGGGGCAACUGGAAUUCUCGGUGUAGCGGUGAAAUGCGUAGAUAUCUGGAGGAACACCGGUGGCGAAGGCGGCAUCCUGGACCGAGAUUGACGCUGAGGCGCGAAAGCCAGGGGAGCAAACGGG
rnacentral:rRNA from 1 species